rnacentral:tRNA from 1 species
GGUCCCUUCGUCUAACGGUUAGGACAGUGGAUUCUCAUUCCACCAAUAGGGGUUCGAUUCCCCUAGGGACUG